AUUAUUCAUAAAAGUACACUUAAAAUACAUAAAUGCAUGUUUUUGUUUCAUUUUUUUUAUCUUUUUCUAUUGGGUAUUUUGACUUUUUUAGGUAGAGGAAUGUCUGCGACUAAGUCAAGGGCUACUGGAUAAGGGUUGUUGAUGGCAAAACAGGUUGGAGACUACAUAAGACUUUGACAGUUGGCGGGAAACCAUCAUCAACUGGAGAGAUGCCGGUAGAGGAAUGUCUGCGACUAAGUCAAGGGCUACUGGAUAAGGGUUGUUGAUGGCAAAACAGGUUGGAGACUACAUAAGACUUUGACAGUUGGCGGGAAACCAUCAUCAACUGGAGAGAUGCCGGUAGAGGAAUGUCUGCGACUAAGUCAAGGGCUACUGGAUAAGGGUUGUUGAUGGCAAAACAGGUUGGAGACUACAUAAGACUUUGACAGUUGGCGGGAAACCAUCAUCAACUGGAGAGAUGCCGGUAGAGGAAUGUCUGCGACUAAGUCAAGGGCUACUGGAUAAGGGUUGUUGAUGGCAAAACAGGUUGGAGACUACAUAAGACUUUGACAGUUGGCGGGAAACCAUCAUCAACUGGAGAGAUGCCGGUAAAAAGAUGGCCAUAAAACAGUGACCGCUGAUUCGCAUUGAGUUCUUUCUUACAUAUUGGAUGACCUAUGUUUUUUAUUGUUUAAAUCAUUGCGGCUUGGAAUGCUCUUUAAGAAAAGGUAGAGGAAUGUCUGCGACUAAGUCAAGGGCUACUGGAUAAGGGUUGUUGAUGGCAAAACAGGUUGGAGACUACAUAAGACUUUGACAGUUGGCGGGAAACCAUCAUCAACUGGAGAGAUGCCGGUAGAGGAAUGUCUGCGACUAAGUCAAGGGCUACUGGAUAAGGGUUGUUGAUGGCAAAACAGGUUGGAGACUACAUAAGACUUUGACAGUUGGCGGGAAACCAUCAUCAACUGGAGAGAUGCCGGUAAAAAGAUGGCCAUAAAACAGUGACCGCUGAUUCGCAUUGAGUUCUUUCUUACAUAUUGGAUGACCUAUGUUUUUUAUUGUUUAAAUCAUUGCGGCUUGGAAUGCUCUUUAAGAAAAGGUAUGGUUAUGGGGGUGUCUACGCGCAAAAGUUUGACUUUAUUUUUUGUUAAAGUUAUUGCUUUUACAUUGAAUUUGUGCAGGAAAUCUUUUGGUAUGUUGUGACCAAAAGGUUGUCAGUCUAUUGUUAUGAGGCUGUUUACGAUGCGCGUUGAACUAGCGCCAAACUUUUUACCAAAACUUUGAUAUUAAGAGCACUAUUAACGUUCAUUUGUGUUGCAUUUUGACCUAUUAUCCAAGUGAUUUACUUUUCCAUUAUUAUUUAAUCACCCUUUCAUCCAAUUUUUAAGAUGAAAUUACGGUGUUUACAAAACCAACCAAAACGAAAGUGAAACUGGAUGCAUUACGUUUCGCGAUGUAAACAUUAAAUAUUUGUUCAGUUUGAGGAAGCGAAUCGACAAUAGACGUUGGAAUAUGUAUGCAAUACAGACUAUCAUUGCCGAUUGUAGUACUGGCUAAAAAAUACCUUUUAUGACAGGUCAUGUAUAGAACGUUAAUCAAAAUAGUGACCAUAAAUCACUACAAAUGUCUGGGUUGAUCAUUAAUAUAAUUAAUGCACGUUUCUGAUCUAAUUGCCUGUAUCUAGUUGUAAUUACCAUGAUAUUGAUAAAAUUAAAACGUUUUUUUCAUAAAUUAACAUUACAUGUUUUAUUUUUAUCAUUUAGGUAAUAUAUAAUUGUAGCAUUAUCAUCAUUAAAUAUUCUGAAAAUAAUCUAAAUUAUCAUGAUUACUUUAAAGUAGAAUUUUUAAAUUUUUCUCAUUAUUUUUAAUGAAUUUCCACAUUUGCUUGAUUCAAAAUAAAAUGUACUAAUAAGGGUUUCAGUUUUUAAUUUUUAUCCAAUUUUUAGUUCGAUUAAAUUUAAAGUACUAACUACAUACAUGUAUGUGAAAUGCUCUUGAGUUCGUUUCCUAGGCCUAGAACCAGUACUUGGGUGUCUCUUGGAGAUUUCUUAAGAAUGCUCCCACACUGGGGAUCAAACCAGUGACCUCCAGACCAUUAGGUGGACACCACAUCCAUUACACAUCAGCGACCUUUAAUUAGUAAAUUACUUUAGUAUUGCAGCAUUAUAUAAUAUAAUGUUGCUACAUAUUUUUGGAAAAUGAUUAAUGUGCAGUACUAAAUAAAUC